rnacentral:tRNA from 1 species
UCCCUGGUGGUCUAGUGGUUAGGAUUUGGCGCUUUCACAGCUGUGGCCGGGGUUCAAUCCCUAGUCAGGGAA